rnacentral:lncRNA from 1 species
GGCAGCACAGGUCUCCCUCAUGGGGCAGGGCCUCACCUGUCCUGGCGGUGCUUCGUGGCCAGCGCCCUGUGCAGCUCCUCAAUGACGCGGCUUGGGGGAAGAGGCCGGUGGACCGUGGGCGCUGGGCUUAGAAAAGCCUCCUUCCUGCUUCUCUGCUAUGAAUUCAGCUUCCUGAAGCUGCUUCUUGUUCUUGGGAAACCCGGAAGAAUCUGUGCAGCCACCCUUCAGCCUGGAUGAGCACCAUGGUCCGCUCUGCCCUCCCCACAGCAUCUGUUCCAGCACCUUGGGCUUGCACUUCCAGCCCCCAGAACAGACAUGAUUCGAACUCAUGGCCCAGUCUCAAGGCCCCUGGGGGUGGCCCCACUCGGCUCCCUAGCUGCAUCUCCACCUCACUCUCUUCACUCCAGCAUGUGAAGAUCUCUCCCGUCUUUGAAGGCACCACACUCCGUCCAACCUGAGUCUUUGCAUGGGCUGUUCUUUCUGCCUGAAAUGCUUCCCCGCUCCUCUGCUAGAAUACCAUUUCCUUAGAGAGGCCAUGAUCAGAUCCCUCGUCUCCUGUCCCCUGGGACCUGAGCCUGCCCUGACACUUUUCCUCUUACUUGGAGUGAAUCACGCUGCCCAGUCUGUUUCUUGCUCCUGGGCAGGCCUGUGUCCACCUUCCUUCCUACAGUUUCCCCAGGCCUGGCACUUAAAACACGGGCAAUAAACACUUGUGUACAUGAAAUGACUUUGAAGAUGAUUCUAAACAGGCUUUGCUCAUUCAAGUCUAAAUGAGUGGGACACCCCCUCCUUCCAUCAAUGACAGUCUCCUGCAUGUGCUCCGGGCCAGCAGGGUGUCAGGUGCCCGGAAGAGCAGAGAGCAUGGGCUUUGUCUUCUGCAGAUUUGGCCUCUGGUCUUGAUCUGCCAUUUCCCAGUAUGCAAGACUCUGGGCAAGUCACUGAAGCUCUCAAAGGCUUAGCCUACUUGCCUGUAAAAUGAGACCAUCAGCUCCUUUUCAGGAGCCUAGCAGCUGGCACAGGCCCAGAAGCUCUUAGGUGUUCAGCACAAACUCUCAUUCCAAAAGCGUCCUGGCAGGACUGGUGCAAACACCAGAUCCCUUUAAUCCCACCAGCAAAACAACCAGAUCUAAACUACCCCAUUCCCUAAAAACCAGAAACAAACUUCCAAUACAAUCCUGGGAUGUGGACAGCAUCAAUAAAAAGUAUUCCUCAAAACCCAAAAGGAAACUGUAAACCUCGUGGAGGACUUUAGUUAUUUCGCUUUCUCUACAA